UACGGAGGGUGCGAGCGUUAAUCGGAAUUACUGGGCGUAAAGCGCACGCAGGCGGUUUGUUAAGCUAGAUGUGAAAGCCCGGGCUCAACCUGGGAUGGUCAUUUAGAACUGGCAGACUAGAGUCUUGGAGAGGGGAGUGGAAUUCCAGGUGUAGCGGUGAAAUGCGUAGAUAUCUGGAGGAACAUCAGUGGCGAAGGCGACUCCCUGGCCAAAGACUGACGCUCAUGUGCGGAAGUGUGGGUAGCGAACAGC
rnacentral:rRNA from 1 species